GUUGUACUCGGUACUAUGAAGACGGCCAGGACGGUGACAGCACUGGGACAAAGGAACAAAAAGGAAUCAUGUUUCCUAGCUCAUACUCAAGCCUGGUUUUCUCCUAUCAGUUACGUAUCCACAGAUAUCAAGGGAACAUAAAUCCUUGCAGGUUUCCAUCUCUCAGAAAAACAUGCCAUGUGCAGACACAUCUGGCUCAACGUAUCAUUAAAUCCACUGCAAGAGAAAAUGAGGCUGCUGUGAUUGCGCCUUUCUAGGACUGGGAGGCUGAGGAACUCCUGCUGUGUGAGGUCAGUGGCCGGGAAGAGGACACUGAGCCACAACGUCCUUCUCUGCCCUCUCCACUCCUUGCUUCCAUUUCUGCCUAAGCGGUAUGGCUUGAGCUCAACUCAUCUGGAAUUUACCAAAAAGAUACAGUAAUGGCAGCCUUUCUUACCUUUGGUGUACAUCCCAAAGAUAUUUUUACUGUUGAAAACUUGUUUUUAACAAAAGUAAGUAAAUCUGCACCUAACAUAAA